GCCCGCCUAGCUCAAUCGGAUAGAGCGUCAGACUUUUAGGCGCUCUGUGGGCGCUGAAGUGAAUCUGAAGGCUGCGAGUUCGACCCUCGCGGUGGGCU